CCUACGGGAGGCAGCAGUGGGGGAUAUUGCACAAUGGGGGAAACCCUGAUGCAGCGACGCCGCGUGGGUGAAGAAGCGCCUCGGCGCGUAAAGCCCUGUCAGCAGGGAAGAAAAUGACGGUACCUGAAGAAGAAGCCCCGGCUACCUCCGUGCCAGCAGCCGCGGUACUACGUAGGGGGCAAGCCUUAUCCGGAUUUACUGGGUGUAAAGGGGGCGCAGACGGCGAUGCAAGCCAGGAGUGAAAGCCCGGGGCCCAACCCCGGGACUGCGCGUGGAACUGCGUGGCUAGAGGGCAGGAGGGGCAGGCGGAAUUCCUGGUGUAGCGGUGAAAUGCGUAGAUAUCAGGAGGAACACCGGUGGCGAAGGCGGCCUGCUGGACUGCAACUGACGUUGAGGCCCGAAAGCGUGGGGAGCAAACAGGAUUAGAUACCCUGGUAGUC
rnacentral:rRNA from 1 species